rnacentral:lncRNA from 1 species
GUGGGCGGUGCUCUUGCUCCCGUGCAGCCCUCACUCCCAUGCAGCUGAAGAGUAUAAAAGGAAGAGGUUCAGUAAUAAAGCAAGCAAGGAACUUGAGAAGAAAGGUGCCUCCCGUCUCUCUGUCCUUGUCCUUUCAGGUUUAGGACCUGCUGGCAGGAUCCUGACGUCGUGGCUCGCGACAAGCUCUGUUGCAGAUGUCCACAGAGGGCCCUCAUACCAUGUGCCACUCCUAAGCACCGAAUUUCCUUGAAAAGUCACCUGUGAUGGGCAGCUAUAGAAGAUUGCAGCUCGUCUGUCUCCAUAAGCAAUUCAAAAUGCCCAGAAUUUGUUAGAGCUCAAGGCUGCAAUAAAGCCACCCGCCGAACUCCGGGCUGCACAGCGGUGCGGGAUUAACUGACACACCAGGGAGAGACGAUGCCAAAAGCCGUCGCUAGGGGACGCUGUUUCUCCACUGAGCCGCUAGGGCCCCAGCACCAGGACUGAGCUUUCCAAACUUUUCUCCUCCUUGCUUAGUAAUUGUGCUAGGAUUCUGAAGUCCUGCCUGCGACUGUUCCUCUCUCUUCUUUUCCCCUUAGUCACACUUGGCUGUCAGUGAUUCAUCUCAGGAAUGACACCUGACUAACCGUUAUGCUCCCCCGCAUCCUUUGUGGGAAGACGCAUUUCCCUCCUCGGUCUUGUUUAUUAAGGCACUGUAACGCUUUACUGCUGACUCAGUCGUGCUAGAAGUGGGGCUGACAUCUUGCCUUAGAUCCACCCUCCCCUAACAAUAUCAAACGUAAAAUAUUUCUUCGGGUCAGAGCCUUUGGCUGCAUAGUGAAUAAUAUCCACCUCCCCUUCCCAGCCCCUUGGGGCUACAUGACCGUGCAGUGAGCUCCCGACAGGGCCCAAUAGCUUGAGCCUCACUUAGGGCCACUAAGCAGGAAGGAGAGAGUGCAGGGCCUGCUGGUUCUCGCCCUGAUGUGUGCUCCGGAGGUGGGGCUGUAAGAAGCCCCACCCGGGGGUGGUGAGAGCCCCAGAGAGAGGCUGGGGGAGG